CACGUAGGGUGCAAGCGUUGUCCGGAAUUAUUGGGCGUAAAGGGCUCGUAGGCGGUCCGUCACGUCGGGAGUGAAAACUCGGGGCUCAACCCCGAGCCUGCUUUCGAUACGGGCGGACUAGAGGUAGGUAGGGGAGAACGGAAUUCCUGGUGUAGCGGUGGAAUGCGCAGAUAUCAGGAGGAACACCGGUGGCGAAGGCGGCUUUCUGGACAGACACCGACGCUGAGGCACGAAAGCUAGGGGAGCAAACAGG
rnacentral:rRNA from 1 species